GGGUUUUUAUUUUAUAUUUUAAACAUUGAUUUUAUUUUUUAUGUUUUUAGAUGUUCAUUUUUUUGAAUGUUUUAUUCAAAUAAUAUAAAAAAUAAAAUAUAUAUUGACAUGGAUUAAACAAAGAUAUAUAUUAUUCUAUGUUGCAUAAACAAA
rnacentral:misc_RNA from 1 species